AUCUAGUUUAAGGGUCCCAAACAGGACAAAAUGCUCAUCCUAGAU
rnacentral:hammerhead_ribozyme from 1 species